rnacentral:rRNA from 1 species
UGCAGUCGAACGAAGUAGCAAUACUUAGUGGCAGACGGGUGAGUAACAUGUGGGUAUCUACCCUUUGGCCUGGAAUAACACGAGGAAACUUGUGCUAAUACCGGAUAAGUCUUUACGGAGAAAGCUUUAUGCACCAUUGGAUGAGCCCGCACUUGAUUAGUUUGUUGGUAGGGUAAUGGCCUACCAAGACUAUGAUCAAUAGCUGAUUUGAGAGGAUGAUCAGCCACAUUGGGACUGAGACACGGCCCAAACUCCUACGGGAGGCAGCAGUGGGGAAUCUUGCACAAUGGAGGAAACUCUGAUGCAGCGAUGCCGCGUGAGUGAAGAAGGCCUUUGGGUUGUAAAGCUCUUUCGUCGGGGAAGAAAAUGACUGUACCCGAAUAAGAAGGUCCGGCUAACUUCGUGCCAGCAGCCGCGGUAAUACGAAGGGACCUAGCGUAGUUCGGAAUUACUGGGCUUAAAGAGUUCGUAGGUGGUUGAAAAAGUUGGUGGUGAAAUCCCAGAGCUUAACUCUGGAACUGCCAUCAAAACUUUUCAGCUAGAGUAUGACAGAGGAAAGCAGAAUUUCUAGUGUAGAGGUGAAAUUCGUAGAUAUUAGAAAGAAUACC